rnacentral:lncRNA from 1 species
CUUUCCCCUGAGUGCCACACACAGACCUCCAAGUGCCCCAGGGACCUACCUAACCCAGGAUCACUGACACCCAACACACUCCCCUCCCACCACGUCCCCUCCAUCAGGGAAGACACCAGAAGCCUGGAGUCAUCUCUGACAGUCUCUCUCCAUCCUCAACCUCUGACCUUCUACGGGUUCUCAUGAGUCCAGAAGUUUGACUUGCUAAACUGCUCUGGACCCUGCCCUCUCGUCUCCUGGCCAUCACCACUCCCCUAGUCCAGGCUUCUUUGUCUACACUCAGUUGCAACAAUGGCCUCCUCAUUUCUCUCACUGGUCCCAGUCUUGCUACCUCCCAUCCAUCCUCUGUUGAGCAGCUAGCCUGAUCUUUCAGAAGUAUGAAUCUAACUAAGCAUGUCUCGUCCAUGCUUAGAAGGAGCCCUGGAUCUCUAACCUGUGUGAUACACUCAGGCCUCCCUCUCCAGCUUUGCCUUGGAAGCAAAACCCUAUUCGAUGGUCUGUGAUCCAUGAGCCUUUGCUGGCUUCUUCAUGCAUGCCUCUGAGUCUGUUUCAGAGGGGCCCCUUGGAAAGGGUUCCUCCUCAUUCCCACCAGCAUCAUCACUGUUGUUGUAGUCUGAGUUCCUCCAAAUGCAUGACUCAAGGUCCCAGCGUAAGUAGUUUAUAGGGAAGUGAUUCUGAGAAGCGGGAGUAAAGGGGUGUGAAGAAUGCGACAGGGAAGGGAGAAAAGUCCACCCUCGUGAGUUCUAUCAUCUGUGCAGUGUGCGAUGGGGCUGCGCUCACCAGGACCCUGCGGAGCCUACGGAACACCUCCCAGAAAUCGUCUACCUGCAGGAAGUUGCUCCAGACACUCACUCCAUUGGCUAUAUUCAGUGGAGUCUAAAGUGCCUCUUGAUGUGGUGACUGAGAAAGACGCCUCACGUCUGUGGUAUUCCUGCUGAAAAGGCAGAACCUGACAGAGGAAACAUCAGACUAACCAAGCUGAGAACCAGUCUAUAAGAUUAUUGGUCCAGGCUCAUCCAAAGUGUCAGCGUCAUAAAAUGAAAAAGACAGUGAAAGACUAACCGCUUCAGAUUAGUGGAGAUGAGACAUGGCUACCAAACAGAAUGCAUGAUUCUGGAUUUCAUCCUAGGCUAGAGAGGAAAUUGCUGUGCAGGAAUCAAUGUUGGAGAGGAUGUGGAGAAAAGGGAACCCUCUUGCACUGUUGGUAGGAAUGCAAAUUGAUCCAGCCAUUAUGGAAAACAGUAUGGAGAUUCCUUAAAAAAAAAAAAAAAGCAACUAGGAAUCAAACUACCAUAUGACCCAACAAUCCCACUACUGGGCAUAUACCCUGAGGAAACCAUAAUUG